rnacentral:rRNA from 1 species
CCUACGGGUGGCAGCAGUGGGGAAUAUUGGGCAUUGGGCGAAAGCCUGACCCAGCAACGCCGCGUGAAGGACGAAGGCUCUAGGGUUUUUAACUUCUUUUGACAGGGAAAAGCAGAAUACGGUACCUAUCGAAUAAGCCAUGGCUAACUACUUGCCAGCAGCCGCCUUAAUACGUCGGUGGCAAGCGUUGUCCGGAUUUACUGGGUUUAAAGGGCGUGUAGCCGGGCUGACAAGGUAGAUGUGAAAUCCGGGGGAUCAAACCCCGAACUGCAUUUGAAACUGUUGGACUUGAGUAUCGGAGAGGCAGGCGGAAUACGUAGAGUAGCGGUGAAAUGCGUAGAUAUUAGGAGGAACACCAGUGGCGAAGGCGGCUGGCUGGACGACAACUGACGGUGAGGCGCGAAAGCGUGGGGAGCAAACAGGAUUAGAUACCCUAGUAGUC